AUGCUCAAUCUGAUGUCGAUGCUCGUCUCUAUGGGUUACUUUACCCAAGUUGAGCAGAAGUUCAUGGUCUCUGGUCAUUCUUUUCUUCCUUGUGAUCGAUCUUUUGCCACCAUCGAGAAGAGGCGCAAGGUGUCAGUCCUUCAUACACCUGAUGAUGUUUCAAAGAUGAUACUUGAAGCACAACCAGCAAAACCAUUCAAGGUGAUGAGGAUGCAAUGUGAAGACUUCAGGCACCUCCCAGAUUCUGUCCUCAAGCGACCAGCUGGACUACAGAUCACCUCAGUGAGGUGGUUAAAAGUCACAGUUGAGGAUCCUUGGAAUCUGUACGCCAAACAGAGCCACAGUCUAUUUGAGGGAUGGAAGUCGUGGCUGAUCUCCAAACCAAAACAAGGAGCUACACCUCAGCCUCCCUAUUUUGCAAGCCACUACCCUAGAGCAUAUGAGAGUCCUCUGCCCAUCAAAAAAAACAAGUACCAAGAUCUGAUGACCAUGCUCAACUACUUGCCAGCUGCUGCACACUCUUUUUAUGAAUCACUGCAGAGUGAAUCAUUUGUUGUUAAACCAAGCUACAUAAUUAAACGUUUUUUUCUGUGAGUUUAUGAUCCCCUGAACCUGUAUACUGUAGUAUGUUGAAUCUGUAUACAUUUCAGAAGACAUGUCACCCCUAUUGUAGGAAAUUAAAUGUAUCGUAGGUGUUUUCUAUGUGAAUCAAUUUGUGUAUGAUUUGAACCAGCACAAUAUAUUGAAUUAAUUUAAUUUUAAGAUGUUGUUCCUAGUGUAGAAAAUGUUAUGUACAAUGUGUUCUGUUGAUAAUUAUUUUGUGUGAUCAUUUGAACCUUUUUUAAUCUGAAUGAAUUAAAAACAAAUAAGUCAUCACAUACAGUAUGUGAGUAUUCAUUUGAUCUUGAUUCCCUUUUAUUAUUCAUUACAAUAUACACUGUCUCUCUGUCACCACAUUUAGCAUUAACUCUAAGCAGUUAAUACUUAUUUACUGCUGUCACCUCAGUGCAGAAGGACAUUUCUUGCCUUUAGCAUGGGUUUAACGCAAUUCACAACUUAAUUACUGAUCAUGGUGUUAAACACAAAGAGAAUGGUUUUCUGAACGUUUUGUAAUAUUGACCUUCGGGACCUGCAUAAUGGACAUGCAUAUUGGCACAUCACAUUUAUCCCUAUUUGAUAUUUACAAGUUGUGCUUGUUUUGAUUGAAUUAAUUUAAUUGUAUUCUAUUUUGGUAGUUCUAUGGUAUGUUCACAUUGAGGGCUUCAUUUUAAAUGAGACUAAGAUUUCAUGACUCAACUUUUAAGAAAAGUCAUCAUUGCUAAAGUUGAUAGACCACCUUUAAAUGAACCUCCAUACAAAUGAAUUAACUGCAUAUUGCAUUUAAGUUAUUUACAUGAAGGGCAUCUGUACUUGAAAGUACUUAAAACAUCAUAUCAGGUGUUAAAAAAGGACAUCUUACAAGAGUCAUGCAAAAUGUCACAUAUACUGUUCUUCCACAAACUGAGAUCAUCACUGGAGAUAUACUGUUCUUCCACAUUCUAAAAAUUAAAACGGCAAUAAAAAAAAUAUAAUUUGUUGUUGGAAGAUAUGGGUAUGGUGAAUUAUUUCUCAACCACAAAACACCUAAUGUGGUACACACAAUUAAUAAUAUAAAAAUAACUGAUUAUCUUAAAAUGGAAAAAUUGUCACAUAUAUGGUUCUUCGUCUGUAGGGUUCAUAUGAUCAAUUUUUUUGGUUCUAGUCAGGAUUCUAGCAGCCGUAUUUAGCACUAACUGAAGUUUAUUUAGUGCUUUAUCCGGGUGGCCGGAAAGUAGAGCAUUGCAGUAGUCUAACCUAGAAGUAACAAAAGCAUGGAUUCAUUUUUCUGCAUAAUUUUUGGACAGAAAGUUUCUGAUUUUUCAAAGUUACGUAGAUGGAAAAAAGCUGUCCUUGAAACAGUCUUGAUAUGUUCGUCAAAAGAGAGAUCAGGGUCCAGAGUAACGCCGAGGUCCUUCACAGUUUUAUUUGAGAGUACUGAACAACCAUCGAGAUUAAUUGUCAGAUUCAACAGAAGAUCUCUUUGUUUCUUGGGACCUAGAACAAGUAUCAAUUUUUUGUCCGAGUUUAAAUGUAGAACGUUUGCAGAAAUCCACUUCCUUAUGUCUGAAACACAGGCUUCUAGCAAGGGCUAUUUUGGGGCUUCACCAUGUUUCAUUGAAAUGUACAGCUGUGUGUCAUCCGCAUAGCAGUGAAAGUUAACAUUAUGUUUUCGAAUGACAUCCCCAAGAGGUAAAACAUAUAGUGAAAACAAUAGUGGUCCUAAAACGGAACCUUGAGGAACACCGACAUUUACAGUUGAUUUGUCAGAGGACAAACCAUUCACAGACACAAACUGAUAUCUUUCUGACAGAUAAGAUAUAAACCAGGCCAGAACUUGUCCAUGUAGACCAAUUUGGGUUUCCAAUCUCUCCAAAAGAAUGUGGUGAUCGAUGGUAUCAAAAGUAGCACUAAGGUCUAGGAGCACGAGGACAGAAGCAGAGCCUCGGUCUGAUGCCAUUAAAAGGUAAUUUACCACCUUCACAAGUGCAGUCUCAGUGCUAUGAUGGGGUCUAAAACCAGACUGAAGCAUUUCGUAUACAUUGUUUGUCUUCAGGCAAGCUGCGCAACAGCUUUUUCAAAAUGUUUUGAGAGGAAUGGAAGAUUCGAUAUAGGCCGAUAGUUUUUUAUAUUUUUGGGGUCAAGACUUGGCUUUUUCAAGAGAGGCUUUAUUACUGCCACUUUUAGUGAGUUUGGUACACUUCCGGUGGAUAGAGAGACGUUUAUUAUGUUCAACAUAGGAGGGCCAAGCACAGGAAGCAGCUCCUUCAGUAGUUUAGUUGGAAUAGGGUCCAGUAUGCAGCUUGAAAGUUUAGAGGCCAAGAUUAUUUUCAUCAUUGUGUCAAGAGAUAUAGUACUAAAACACUUGAGCGUCUCUCUUGAUCCUAGGUCCUAGCAGAGUUGUGCAGACUCAGUACAACUGAGCUUUGGAGGAAUACGCAGAUUUAAAGAGGGGUCCGUAAUUUGCUUUCUAAUGAUCAUGAUCUUUUCCUCAAAGAAGUUCAUGAAUUUAUUACUGCUGAAGUGAAAGCCAUCCUCACUUGGGGAAUGCUGCUUCUUAGUUAGCUUUGCGACAGUAUCAAAAUGACAUUUUGGAAUGUUCUUAUUUUCCUCAAUUAAGUUGGAAAAAUAGGAUGAUCUAGCUAGUCAGAAGACUUCCAGUUUGGUGUGGCGCCAUUUCUGUUCCAAUUUUCUGGAAGCUUGCUUCAGAGCUCUGGUACUUUCUGUAUACCAGGGAGCUAGUUUCUUAUGACAAAUGUUUUUAGUUUUUAGGGGUGCAACUGCAUCUAGGCUAUUGCGCAAGGUUAAAUUGAGUUCCUCAGUUAGGUGGUUAACUGAUUUUUGUCCUCUGAUGUCCUUGGGUAGGCAGAGGGAGUCUGUAAGGGCAUCAAGGAAUCUUUGUUUUGUCUGAGAAUUUAUCGCACAACUUUUGAUGCUCCUUGGUUGGGGUCUGAGCAGAUUAUUUGUUGCGAUUGCAAACGUAAUAAAAUGGUGGUCCGAUAGUCCAGGAUUAUGAGGAAAAACAUUAAGAUCCACAACAUUUAUUCCAUGGGACAAAACUAGGUCCAGAGUAUGACUGUGUCAGUGAGUUGGUCCAGAGACAUGUUGGACAAAACCCACUGAGUCAAUGAUGGCUCCGAAAGCCUUUUAGAGUGGGUCUGUGGACUUUUCCAUGUGAAUAUUAAAAUCACCAAAAUUAAAAUAUUAUCUGCUAUGACUACAAGGUUUGAUAGGAAUUCAGGGAACUCAGUGAGGAGUGCUGUAUAUGGCCCAGGAGGCCUGUAAACAGUAGCUAUAAAAAUUGAUUGAGUAGGCUGCAUAGAUUUCAUGACUAGAAGCUCAAAAGACGAAAACUUCAUUUUUUGUUUUUAAAUUGAAAUUUGCUAUCGUAAAUGUUAGCAACACCUCCGCCUUUGCGGGAUGCAUGGGGGAUAUGGUCACUAGUGUAACCAGGAGGUGAGGCCUCAUUUAACACAAUAAAUUCAUCAGGCUUAAGCCAUGUUUCAGUCAGGCCAAUCACAUCAAGAUUAUGAUCAGUGAUUAGUUCAUUGACCAUAACUGCCUUUGAAGUGAGGGAUCUAACAUUAAGUAGCCCUAUUUUGAGAUGUGAGGUAUCACGAUCUCUUUCAAUAAUGGCAGGAAUGGGGGAGGUCUUUAUCCUAGUGAGAUUGCUAAGGCGAACACCGCCAUGUUUAGUUUUGACCAACCUAGGUCGAGGCACAGACACGGUCUCAAUGGGGAUAGCUGAGCUGACUACACUGACUAUCCUAGUGGCAGACUCCACUAAGCUGGCAGGCUGGCUAACAACAUGUAAUGUCAUGAAAUGUGAGAUGCGUGUGUCUGCCACCCCACCCCAACCCACAUGAAAUAGCCUAUUUGAGGCUGUUGAGAGGGCAGGAUCACAUCAAUGGCCAAAGUGAAAUGGAGACAGUAGAUACAGCUGGUCUGUUGUAAUAUAAUAAAGACAGUAGAUCUAGCUGGUCUGUCAUAAUAUAAUAGAGACAGUAGAUCUAGCUGAAAUGUCAUAAUAUAAAAGAGACAGGAGAUCUAGCAGGUAAUAAUAAUAUCAUAAUAUAUUCAACCUUCAACUCUCUAUAUAUAUCUGUUUAUUAUACCUGUUGAUACAUGGCUCAUAUGUGAAACUAUUCUAACUGAACAUUUUCUUUCACAGUGACACUGAUGCCGAAUGGGAGUCUUAUCCGGUGUCCUGUGUGAAUUUAAGUAUGCUCUCUCUAAUUCUCUCUUUCUCUCUCUCGGAGGACCUGAACCUUAGGACCAUGCGUCAGGACUACCUGGCAUGAUGACUCUUUGCUGUCCCCAGUCCAUCUGGCCUUGCCGCUGUUCCAAUUUCAACUGUUUGGUAUUUUGUAUAUAGUUAUUUGUUUCAAAAUGUAUACCUUCACCAAUUUGGCCACUUGGGUACAUUUGGGCUACUUGUGUGGGACACCUGGGUGACUUCAUGAUAAAUUGCAUGUAGCACACUCAUUUUGGAAGUUAUCAUUCUGAAACUUUGCACAAGUACUGUUGCCCUCUUAUAUUUUUCACUGAAAUUGUCCCCAUCAUCCUAUCUGAAUGUUUGUUAUUUCUUGUUCAUUUUAAAGAUGAUGAUAUAAAAAUAAAAAAUGUAUGUUUUUUUUCAUUGUUUUAUCUAAACCAGAUCUAUUGUGUUAUAUUUGUUAUAUUCUACACAAACUUCAUAGUGUUUUCUUUCAUAUGGUACCAAGAAUAUGCAUAUCCUUGGUUCUGUGCCUGAGCUACAGGCUUUUAUAU
rnacentral:lncRNA from 1 species